rnacentral:rRNA from 1 species
UCGGAGCGGAAUAGACUCGGAAACCGGAGUAAAGACCGCAUAACAUAUUUUUCGUCAUGAAGAGAUAAUCAAAACUACCCGGUGCCGAAAGAUGGGCCCGCGUCCUAUUAGCUGGUUGGUGAGGCAACGGCUCACCAAGGCGACGAUAGGUAGCCGGUCUGAGAGGGCGAACGGCCACACUGGAACUGAGACACGGUCCAGACUCCUACGGGAGGCAGCAGUGGGGAAUAUUGCGCAAUGGGGGCAACCCUGACGCAGCAAUACCGCGUGAGUGAAGAAGGUUUUCGGAUCGUAAAGCUCUGUUAUUGGGGAAGAAGAAGUGACGGUACCCAAUGAGGAAGUCCCGGCUAAUUACGUGCC